CCUGAUUAGAGACUUGUUAAGCUGGGAAGCCUAACUCCGUCGUCGUGGCAGAUGUGCGGAGACUGUGGGAGCGAUUGAUUGAGCCAGAUUUGAGAUGGAACUGCCAAAAGGCGAUGAUAACGAUCUGUGACUUUGCAGAUUAGCAGAGGCAGGGACUUUGUUCUGAGCACAACAUUAUUAAGCAGAGUCGGAGCUGACGAGAGGUGGUUGGUUGGAUGGAUGGAUGGAUGAUUAUAUCGCAUUAAUCCAAUCAGUAAAUAAUCCGGUUUGACUAACUACUCCUGGUUAACAAGAGAGAUUACGCCUUGUAAUUGAGCCGGAUUCAGUGUCUUUUUUGGUAUGUACUUCAUCAUCCAGCUUCUCUCCUCACCUGAGGACACCGCUGCUUCCUACAACGCUACCUGAUCCGAUGGUGGUAAAUUCUGUUGUUGUCUGGAUGGAUGUUUGGUAUUUCUCUCUUUUCUAAGUUUAGGAGGGAGGAUUUGUGCGCCUCCCACACGGGCAGAAAUACGGGCAGAGGAGACACUGCACAAAUACGCAGAUUGGCAUCUGACAACUGUCAGAAAUGACGUUUGCAAUUUUAUCCAGCUUAAAGUUUCUUUACAUGAAACUCGAGUUGUUUGACUAACCUGACCUUCAACUAAAUUGUUUUUGGCCAAGUUAAUUUGCAAAUGGCAAUCCCUUGCAUGUCAUCCGUAUGUAUGUAUAAAUAUGUACAUACAUACAUACUUGACUGCAGCCUGAAAUAACAUUCGUCCUGCAUAUGCAAUCCCACAUAAAAUCUGCGCUUCUGAUACGCUUCGUUCCUUCCUUGAAAUGGAGGUAAACAGGACAGAAAAUUCCUUCUUGACAUCGUUCACAAAGUUAAUACUCUUGCCAUUUGGUGUUUACAUUGGACGGGAUGCAGGCGAGGCAACAAAGAUGAUCGGAUUCCACUAAAAAUAAUGGGAUCAGAUGCAGUGUCAGUUAUGGAGCUCCUGUCCCACACAUGUCUUCUCUUGGAAGUUGGUCCAGCAGGAGAGACGACGGUGCAGUUAUCUUUAUUGCCAUCCACGGAGGAGGAGAUGUGGAGCAAAUCUCCGAGAAAACCUUGGGAAAGCAUCCAAAACAAAACAUUGAAGAAAGCAAUGUGUGCGGGGGCUCACGUUUAUCGCAACGCAAAGUUUUCGUUGCACUUGUUUGUUUAUUAUGCUAACACAAAUUUCUGCACUCAAACACCCACAACUUUUAACUUUGUAUCUGUCAUAACACACAAAACUAAUAAAAUGUUGAAGGAUUUUGACAUAAAUUGAA